AAAUUGUGAAAAUCUGUGUGAGAAUCAGGUGCCGAAUGGACUCGGCCCCAACAUGCGAUGGGAUCCUGUUGUCAUCAAGUGUGCGGAUCGAGACCCGCACAAGUUUGGGGUGAGGGCACACACUGUCGUCAGUGGCUUCGACAACUGCGGCCUGCCCAACCCAGACGGAAUAUACUGCGAAUCGAACCAGGCCAAGAACCAAAGUGACCUCUGUUGUACUAAACCAGACUGCCCUGGACUCAACCAAGGCGG